AGCGGCGGACGGGUGAGUAACACGUGGGCAACCUGCCUGUAAGACUGGGAUAACUCCGGGAAACCGGAGCUAAUACCGGAUAGUAUCUUGAACCGCAUGGUUCAAGUUGGAAAGACGGUUUCGGCUGUCACUUACAGAUGGGCCCGCGGCGCAUUAGCUAGUUGGUGAGGUAAUGGCUCACCAAGGCAACGAUGCGUAGCCGACCUGAGAGGGUGAUCGGCCACACUGGGACUGAGACACGGCCCAGACUCCUACGGGAGGCAGCAGUAGGGAAUCUUCCGCAAUGGACGAAAGUCUGACGGAGCAACGCCGCGUGAGUGAUGAAGGUUUUCGGAUCGUAAAACUCUGUUGUUAGGGAAGAACAAGUGCGAGAGUAACUGCUCGCACCUUGACGGUACCUAACCAGAAAGCCACGGCUAACUACGUGCCAGCAGCCGCGGUAAUACGUAGGUGGCAAGCGUUGUCCGGAAUUAUUGGGCGUAAAGCGCGCGCAGGCGGUUUCUUAAGUCUGAUGUGAAAGCCCCCGGCUCAACCGGGGAGGGUCAUUGGAAACUGGGAAACUUGAGUGCAGAAGAGGAGAGUGGAAUUCCACGUGUAGCGGUGAAAUGCGUAGAGAUGUGGAGGAACACCAGUGGCGAAGGCGACUCUCUGGUCUGUAACUGACGCUGAGGCGCGAAAGCGUGGGGAGCGAACAGGAUUAGAUACCCUGGUAGUCCACGCCGUAAACGAUGAGUGCUAAGUGUUAGAGGGUUUCCGCCCUUUAGUGCUGCAGCUAACGCAUUAAGCACUCCGCCUGGGGAGUACGGUCGCAAGACUGAAACUCAAAGGAAUUGACGGGGGCCCGCACAAGCGGUGGAGCAUGUGGUUUAAUUCGAAGCAACGCGAAGAACCUUACCAGGUCUUGACAUCCUUUGCCACUUCUAGAGAUAGAAGGUUCCCCUUCGGGGGACAAAGUGACAGGUGGUGCAUGGUUGUCGUCAGCUCGUGUCGUGAGAUGUUGGGUUAAGUCCCGCAACGAGCGC
rnacentral:rRNA from 1 species